rnacentral:rRNA from 1 species
CGCGCAGGCGGGUCAGCAAGUCAGAUGUGAAAUCUCGGGGCUUAACCCCGAAACUGCGUCUGAAACUACUAACCUAGAAUAUCGGAGAGGAAGAUGGAAUUUCGCAUGUAGGGGUAAAAUCCGUAGAGAUGCGAAGGAACACCAGAGGCGAAAGCGAUUUUCUGGACGAUUAUUGACGCUGAGGCGCGAAAGCGUGGGGAGCAAACA